GGGGCUGACUUGGAUUUCGACAGAUUUCUUGUCGCACAGAUAGCAUGCCAAGCGCUGCUUGUAAAACAGCAACAAAAAUAACUGUAAACAACGCAGAUUACGCUCCAGCUUACGCUAAAGCUGCGUGAGUU
rnacentral:tmRNA from 1 species